CCUACGGGUGGCAGCAGUGGGGAAUAUUGCGCAAUGGGCGAAAGCCUGACGCAGCGACGCCGCGUGAGGGAUGAAGGUCUUCGGAUCGUAAACCUCUGUCAGCAGGGAAGAACGGUCACUGUGCUAAUCAGCAGUGAAUUGACGGUACCUGCAAAGGAAGCACCGGCUAACUCCGUGCCAGCAGCCGCGGUAAUACGUAGGGUGCGGGCGUUAAGCGGAAUUACUGGGCGUAAAGCGCUCGUAGGCGGUAUGUCAAGUCAAGGGGGAAAUCCCCGCGCUCAACGUGGGAACUGCCUUUGAAUCUGGCAAACUGGAGUGUGUGAGAGGAUAGUGGAAUUCCAGGUGUAGGAGUGAAAUCCGUAGAUAUCUGGAGGAACAUCAGUGGCGAAGGCGACUAUCUGGCACAUAACUGACGCUGAGGAGCGAAAGCGUGGGUAGCAAACAGGAUUAGAUACCCUAGUAGUC
rnacentral:rRNA from 1 species